UUAUAGGGGGCGAAUUCGAACUAUAGGAUUUCAAUAAAAUAAAAUUGAGCAUAAGGGGCUAAAUAAAAUUUUACAAUCUGAAAGUUUUAUAAUACUUACGAAUAAAGUAUAAAUAACAUAAAGUAUGGGAGGCUAAUGAAUUUUUACAUGCUGGCCGUAAGUUACAUUGAAUGUAACUUAGGCGAACCCAUUGGUCAUGGUCUCUUUCCAAAAUUCAAAGUUUUGAACUUGCAUAAUCUUGCUACCAUAAGGCUCUUUGAGUUGUUUUCAAUGGCUCUGCAUCACAUUCACAACGGUCAAGUCUUAACUCAUCUCAAUGGCAAUAGGUAGAACCCAAAUAAAAUCAUAGAUCAUUUUCAAUAUUCAUUUGAAAUGCUGCAUUAUGCUCUGCAGGGAUAGCUCGUGUUGAUAUCUGGACUUUUCCCGCCUGAGUCGAACCAAGUGUAACAGGUGCAUAUAUACCUAGAGACAUAAAGUAACAAAUAAGCAAUGGUGAAAUGGGCUUAAGUUAGUGGCUGUAGAAUUCGAGUUGAAUCAUAAAAUUAGAGCUUUAAUGAUACUUAAGUUAGUUGGGAUGGUAGCGCUAGGGAUGGUAAAAUCCUUCACGGGUUUGGGGUCCCAUGGAGCCCCACCCCAAAUGGGAAAAAUUUUGAAUAAUUUUUUGAGAAUGGGGUGGGGAGUGGGAGGAAAAUAAUCAUCAAAUUCUUGAUGAGGUGGGGUUGGGUUUUGCACUCCCCACCCACACCCUCACCCCAAUUCUCA
rnacentral:lncRNA from 1 species